AUUGAACGCUGGCGGCAAGCCUAACACAUGCAAGUCGAACGAGCGGCGGACGGGUGAGUAAUGUCUGGGAAACUGCCUGAUGGAGGGGGAUAACUACUGGAAACGGUAGCUAAUACCGCAUACCAUCGGAUGUGCCCAGAUGGGAUUAGCUAGGAGGUGGGGUAAAGGCUCACCUAGGCGACGAUCCCUAGCUGGUCUGAGAGGAUGACCAGCCACACUGGGACUGAGACACGGUCCAGACUCCUACGGGAGGCAGCAGUGGGGAAUAUUGCACAAUGGGCGCAAGCCUGAGACAGCCAUGCCGCGUGUAUGAAGAAGGCCUUCGGGUUGUAAAGUACUUUCAGCGGGGAGGCGUUACCCACAGAAGAAGCACCGGCUAACUCCGUGCCAGCAGCCGCGGUAAUUC
rnacentral:rRNA from 1 species